GAACGCUGGCGGCAUGCUUUACACAUGCAAGUCGAACGGCAGCACGGGUGCUUGCAUCUGGUGGCGAGUGGCGGACGGGUGAGUAAUACAUCGGAACGUGUCCUGAAGUGGGGGAUAACGCAUCGAAAGAUGUGCUAAUACCGCAUAUUCUCUGAGGAGAAAAGUAGGGGAUCGAAAGACCUUAUGCUUUUGGAGCGGCCGAUGUCUGAUUAGCUAGUUGGUAGGGUAAUGGCUUACCAAGGCGACGAUCAGUAGUUGGUCUGAGAGGACGGCCAGCCACACUGGGACUGAGACACGGCCCAGACUCCUACGGGAGGCAGCAGUGGGGAAUUUUGGACAAUGGGCGCAAGCCUGAUCCAGCAAUGCCGCGUGAGUGAAGAAGGCCUUCGGGUUGUAAAGCUCUUUCAGUUGAAAAGAAAAAAUUGUGACUAAUAAUCAUAAUUCAUGACGGUAUCAACAGAAGAAGCACCGGCUAACUACGUG
rnacentral:rRNA from 1 species